UGCACGCCGUGCGCCGCGGCCAGCGCAGGCUGCAUCGCGGCCUCGAUGUCGGGGUGCCGAAUUUGAUCCUGCGCUCGGAUCACAGCGUGCACC
rnacentral:tRNA from 1 species